UACGAAGGGGGCUAGCGUUGUUCGGAAUUACUGGGCGUAAAGCGCGCGUAGGCGGUGAUCUUUGUCAGAGGUGAAAGCCCGGGGCUCAACUCCGGAAUUGCCUUUGAAACGGGAUCGCUAGAGUCCGAGAGAGGAUGGCGGAAUUCCUAGUGUAGAGGUGAAAUUCGUAGAUAUUAGGAAGAACACCGGUGGCGAAGGCGGCCAUCUGGCUCGGUACUGACGCUCAGGCGCGAAAGCGUGGGGAGCAAACAGG
rnacentral:rRNA from 4 species